UUGGAGGGCAAGUCUGGUGCCAGCAGCCGCGGUAAUUCCAGCUCCAAUAGCGUAUAUUAAAGUUGUUGCAGUUAAAAAGCUCGUAGUUGAAUUUUAGGCCUGGCCGGGCGGUCCGUCUUUGGCGAGUACUGUUCUGUGUCGGGUCUUACCUUCUGGUGAACCAGCAUGUUCUUUAUUGAGUGUACCGGGGAGCCAGGACCAUUACCUUGAAAAAAUUAGAGUGUUUAAAGCAGGC
rnacentral:rRNA from 1 species